rnacentral:rRNA from 1 species
AUACGGAGGGUGCAAGCGUUGUUCGGAAUUACUGGGCGUAAAGCGCGCGUAGGCGGUCUGUUAUGUCAGAUGAGAAAGUCCUCGGCUCAACCGGGGAAGUGCAUUUGAAACUGGCAGACUUGAGUACUGGAGGGGGUGGUGGAAUUCCCGGUGUAGAGGUGAAAUUCGUAGAUAUCGGGAGGAAUACCGGUGGCGAAGGCGACCACCUGGCCAGAUACUGACGCUGAGGUGCGAAAGCGUGGGGAGCAAACAGGAUUAGAAACCCUAGUAGUCC